rnacentral:rRNA from 1 species
UACGAAGGGGGCUAGCGUUGUUCGGAAUCACUGGGCGUAAAGGGCUCGUAGGCGGCCAACUAAGUCAGACGUGAAAUCCCUCGGCUUAACCGGGGAACUGCGUCUGAUACUGGAUGGCUUGAGUGUGGGAGAGGGAUGCGGAAUUCCAGGUGUAGCGGUGAAAUGCGUAGAGAUGUGGAGGAACACCGAUGGCGAAGGCAGCCUUCUGGGCCAACACUGACGCUCAUGCACGAAAGCGUGGGGAGCAAACAGG